AAAGAAAAAAUCUCUUCAGGAAGUGGUCCAAAACACAAUAGAGUUGUGAGAAUUCAGAGGAAGAUUGAAUUUAAACGGGAGGUCAUGUUUUCUGGUAGUAGCUUGAAUGCUGUUGAAGAUGAUAACAAAACUCAAGUACUCGAUGCUGCUAUUUCUUUGAUGAUCAACUGAGGCUGCUGAUUGAUGCAAUUAUAUAGACAGG
rnacentral:misc_RNA from 1 species